rnacentral:rRNA from 1 species
AUUGAACGCUGGCGGCAUGCUUUACACAUGCAAGUCGAACGGCAGCGCGGGCUUCGGCCUGGCGGCGAGUGGCGAACGGGUGAGUAAUGCAUCGGAACGCGCCCAGUCGUGGGGGAUAGCCCGGCGAAAGCCGGAUUAAUACCGCAUACGACCUGAGGGUGAAAGCGGGGGACCGAAAGGCCUCGCGCUAUUGGAGCGGCCGAUGUCGGAUUAGCUAGUUGGUGGGGUAAAGGCUUACCAAGGCGACGAUCCAUAGCUGGUCUGAGAGGACGACCAGCCACACUGGGACUGAGACACGGCCCAGACUCCUACGGGAGGCAGCAGUGGGGAAUGUUGGACAAUGGGGGCAACCCUGAUCCAGCCAUGCCGCGUGCGGGAAGAAGGCCUUCGGGUUGUAAACCGCUUUUGUUCGGGAAGAAAUCCUCUGGGCUAAUACCCCGGGGGGAUGACGGUACCGGAAGAAUAAGCACCGGCUAACUACGUG